CGGACGGGUGAGUAACGCGUGGGGAACCUGCCCUGUACCGGGGGAUAGCAGCCGGAAACGGCUGAUAAUACCGCAUAAGCGCACGAAUGUCGCAUGACAUGGUGUGAAAAACUCCGGUGGUAUAGGAUGGACCCGCGUCUGAUUAGCCGGUUGGUGGGGUAAAAGCCUACCAAAGCGAAGAUCAGUAGCCGAGUUGAGAGACUGACCGGCCACAUUGGGACUGAGACACGGCCCAGACUCCUACGGGAGGCAGCAGCA
rnacentral:rRNA from 1 species